UACGUAGGGUGCAAGCGUUAAUCGGAAUUACUGGGCGUAAAGGGCGCGUAGGCGGCCUUCUAAGUCGAACGUGAAACUCCCGGGCGUCAACCCGGGAACUGCGUCCGAUACUGGAAGGCUUGAAUCCGGGAGAGGGAUGCGGAAUUCCAGGUGUAGCGGUGAAAUGCGUAGAUAUCAGGAGGAACACCGGUGGCGAAGGCGGGUCUCUGGGCCGAAAUUGACGCUGGAGGAGCGAAAGCGUGGGGAGCAAACAGG
rnacentral:rRNA from 1 species